UGUUGGUGCCCAUAGUCACCCAGUACACCUGGCCAUCGGGGACCACCAGCCAGAGGGGCAUCCCGGUCGAGUCUCGGCGGACAUUCACCAUGUUGCCAUUGUUGUCUGUGAUGAGUGUGACGUCGCCGUCCCCAGUGUAGGUGAAGUUGUACAGGCUUGUCAUCAGGAUCAAAUGAACUUACACAUCUCAACAGCCCUUUCCAGUUGGUAGAGCUCUUGGACAGUCUUCAAUGCAUUUCUUCCUCAUGUCACCAGUAUAGGGAGCAGCAUCUGGACCUCUGCUGGGGGCAGGGCCACCGUUCAGUGGAAGAGAGCUUGCAGAGAUGACUGUCACUGCUACCACCUCUGGGUGCUUGUCCUGCCCCAGACACCAUCCUAGCAUUUUAUAUGCGCAGCCUGACAUUCCUCACAGGAGAGAAGAAGACAACGUGAGCAGCUGACUGGGGCACACAGGCCUACGGGCUCCUCCUUCCUUGACAGAUGCCUGUGGCAAUGAAACUCAUAAAAUAGAGAAGAAAGGCAGAGAAUAUUCCAUUGGUGGUUC